rnacentral:rRNA from 1 species
CAGGGGGUGCAAACGUUGCUCGGAAUUAUUGGGCGUAAAGCGCGCGUAGGCGGCUACUUAAGUCGGAAGUGAAAGCCCCUGGCUCAACUGGGGAAGUGCACCCGAAACUGAGUGGCUUGAGUGCGAAAGAGGGUCGCGGAAUUCCCGGUGUAGAGGUGAAAUUCGUAGAUAUCGGGAGGAACACCGGUGGCGAAGGCGGCGACCUGGGUCGACACUGACGCCUGAGGCGCGAAAGCGUGGGGAGCAAACAGGAUUAGAUACCCUGGUAGUCCACGCCGUAAACGAUGGGUGCUAGAUGUUUCUGGUAUUGACCCCGGAGGCGUCGUAGCUAACGCGUUAAGCACCCCGCCUGGGAAGUACGGCCGCAAGGCUA